rnacentral:rRNA from 1 species
GACGAACGCUGGCGGCGUGCUUAACACAUGCAAGUCGAACGGAAAGGCCCCUUUGGGGGUACUCGAGUGGCGAACGGGUGAGUAACACGUGAGUAAACUGCCCUUGACUUCGGGAUAACUUCAGGAAACUGGGGCUAAUACCGGAUAGGAAUCCUUGCUGCAUGGUGGGGGUUGGAAAGCUUCGGCGGUUUUGGAUGGACUCGCGGCUUAUCAGCUUGUUGGUGGGGUAGUGGCUUACCAAGGCUUUGACGGGUAGCCGGCCUGAGAGGGCGACCGGCCACAUUGGGACUGAGAUACGGCCCAGACUCCUACGGGAGGCAGCAGUGGGGAAUAUUGCACAAUGGGCGGAAGCCUGAUGCAGCAACGCCGCGUGCGGGAUGACGGCCUUCGGGUUGUAAACCGCUUUCAGCAGGGGCGAAGCUUGUGGUGACGGUACCUGCAGAAGAAGCACCGGCUAACUACGU